UGGUAUUAACAGAAAGAGCUUAAGUUAUUAAACUGAGCAGCUCUAAGCCCCGAGGUUUCCUGGAGCAGUGGGGAUUACUGUAUUUUUAUUCCAGAGUCAAUGCAGCUUUUGUGUUUGCUUCCUGCAGUGCCCAAACUGACCCCAAAUGCCUUUCCCUAGACAUAUUUCCCCGCCUUGGGAGAGGUGAUGGAGUUUUACCUGGAGAUCGACCCGGUCACCUUGAACCUCAUCAUCCUAGUUGCAAGCUACGUCAUCUUACUUUUGGUGUUCCUCAUUUCCUGCGUGCUGUAUGACUGCCGAGGCAAGGAUCCCAGCAAGGAGUACGCUCCGGAGACCACUCUGACUGCCCAGCCUUCCAUCCGAGUGGUGGUGACACAGCAUAGUGCUCAUGGGUCUCACUGGGCAAGGGGACCCAGCCUUCAUUUUAAGGAUCCUGCUCCAAUAGGGAAGAAAAGCACCGUGGUUUGAGACUGGAUAAGGGAUGAUGGGGGAGAGACCACCAAAUGCAGCAGGAAACAACUGUCCCUGUUGUGGCUCCAGUUCUCUCCCCAAAUGCAGGUCCUGACUGGAGGAGGAAACUGAGGCUCUGUCUUUCUACCCACCCUCUGCUCAUUCUCAUCGUGAAUGAAGCAACUGUUUAAGGUCUGCUUGAUGAUUGGCUGACCCUUUCUUCCCCUGAGGACCUGUGUGGAGUUUAAAGAUGAAUCCAUCUUCGGGGACAUCUCAUUGCCUCAGAAUUCGGGAGGGCACUAGAGAGAACAC